rnacentral:rRNA from 1 species
AACCUGGUUGAUCCUGCCAGUAGUGAUAUGCUUGUCUCAAAGAUUAAGCCAUGCAAGUCUAAGUAUAAAUCAUUUUUACUGAUGAAACUGCGAACGGCUCAUUAAAUCAGUUAUAGUUUAUUUGAUGGUAUUGGGACUUGUCCCAACUACAUGGAUAACUGUAGUAACCUAGAGCUAAUACAUGCAAAUCAACCUAACUAGUAUUCGGAAAGGUUGGCACUUAUUAGAUAACAAACCAAUACCUUCGGGUUUUAAAUGGUGAAUCAUAAUAACUGAACAGAUCGCAUGGCCUUUGUGCCGGCGACGUUUCAUUCAAAUUUCUGCCCUAUCAACUAGAUGUUAGUAUAUAGGACUAACAUGGUUUUAACGGGUGACGGGGAAUUGGGGUUCGAUUCCGGAGAAGGAGCAUGAGAAACGGCUACUACUUCUAAGGAAAGCAGCAGGCGCGCAAAUUAUUCAAUGGAAACAAAUUUCCGAAAUAGUGACAAAAAAUAACAAUGUAUUGCACAAUGUGUGAUACAAUUGGAAUGAGUACAAUUUAAAACCCUUAACGAGUAACAAUUAGAGGGCAAGUCUGAUGCCAGCAGCCGCGGUAAUUCCAGCUCUAAUAGCGUAUAUUAAUAUUGUUGCAGUUAAAAAGCUCGUAGUUGAAACU